UAUCCACAGGCUGACUGAUUUCCUUCUUUCUUGUUUUCUUUCUUUCUUUCCAUAGAUUUUUUUUCUUCUUCCUGUAGAUUCCUUUCUUCCUCCUUCCUCCUUUCUUUCUCCCUUUCUCCCUUUUCCAGAUGACCAUUUUCCCUUUUUCCCGUUUUUUCGUUUUCCCGACAACCAUAGCUUCCCCUCAUGUGGCCUCUUCUCUUACUUUCUGCCCUGCGUCCUGCUUCCCUUUCUCUUGUUUGUCCAUCUUCCGAUUGUGUUUGUGACUGUCCGACGUCUAUGUAGUUCCAGCUUGGUCCGACCGUCCGUGCCUUCCACCGUUCGACCAUCUGACUUUAGCUCUGUUGUUGCACCCCUUCGUCAUGCACGAUAAGUGAUUUUGUUUUCAUUUAUCACAGACUUAUGGUUUCUCUCUAGGUUAUAACUCUCAGCCCUUGGUUUGAAAAUGUGAUACAUACAAAUUUGAACGUGUCAUGUAUAGUUUGAAAAUGUUGCCCAUGGGGUUAGAAAUUGUGAAAUCAACCUGUUUUGUUGAUUGGGUUGUUUGAAAUUAAAAUUGGGUAGGAAUGUGCUUUAGUCACUUAGGUCACCAAGGUGUUUGAUAAAAUGUCUCAAUGAAUUAAGUUAUUGUUUGUGAUGGAUUGUUUCUCCAAUGUCUUUUCUUUUGAUCGUUUACCAAUUUUGGCAAUUACCUAUCACGUGCAGUUGUGUGUCGAUGGUUAAUGUAGUAUGCCCUUUCUUUUGAUAACACAAUGGUUGUCUUUAUAGUAUGCCAAGGGUUAAUGUAAGGGACUUAGUUCUCAGUUAUGAAUAAUUUGAUAAGUGUUCUUCCUUCAUGUGUAGUGACAACUUAUUUAUCUGAACUAUAUUGUUAUUGGGAGUUAUAACCCUAUGAAUAAAAUUCUCUUUGUUUGAAUUUAGGUCCUAAAAUUGUCGUGGACGAAGAAAUGAUUAAAUUAUGUGUGCCACUGAAUGAUAGUGAUUUGCAAGCAUUGGGUGACUUGUCAAGCUCGCAGCGAAAUGAUACUCCACAAGUUGGGAUACAUUUUUCAUAUGAAGAGGAAGCUCGUGAUUUUUAUAAAUCAUAUGCCCAAGGUCUUGGUUUUGGUAUUUCAAAAAUGCAUUCCAAAAAAAGGAGAUGAUGACCUGUAGAAGUAUUUUUCAUUUGGAUGCUCUAAAAAUGAUAAAAAUGUUCCUAGAGUUAAAAGACCUUGUAGCAAAACGGAUUGCAAAUCAAGGAUAAAUAUUACAGUUCAGAAUGAUGGAUUAUUUUUCAUUACUAGUAUUCACCUUGAACACAAUAAUGCAUUAUGUCCAAGGAAGUCAAAACAUUUUAGAUGCAAUAAAGUGUUAGAUUCCCAAACUAAGAGGAAAUUAGAGUUGACUGAUCAAGCGGGAAUACCUUUGAGUAAAAGUUUUCAAUCAUUUGUUGUGAAGUCGAUGGCUAUGAAAAUUUAUCGUUUGAUGAGAGAACGUGUAGAAAUUAUGUGGUUGAAGCACGUAGAUUAUGACUUGGGUAUGGUGAUACAGAAGCCUUGAAUAAUUACUUUUAUCGUAUGCAAAGUAGAAAUUCGAAUUUCUUUUAUACGAUUGACGUAGAUGAAGAUUGUCACAUAAGAAAUAUAUUUUGGGUUGAUGCAAGAUGUAGGGAUUCGUAUGAGUAUUUUUCUAAUGUCAUUACAUUUGAUACUACAUAUCUAACCAAUAUUUAUGAUAUGUCAUUUGCUCCAUUUGUUGGAGUAAAUCAUCAUGGUGAAUUUGUUUUACUUGGUUGUGGUUUGAUAUCUAGAGAAGACUCUGAAACCUUCAUUUGGCUAUUUAAAUCAUGGUUGACAUACAUGAGAGGACGAGCUCCACGAGGUAUUAUUACGAAUCAGUGCAAAGCCAUGAAAAUUGCAAUUAUUGAGAUAUUUCCACUCUUAUCAUCGCUUAUGUCUUUGACAUAUUGCAAAAAAAAAAUUAGCCAAGUUUGAUAGUCAUGCCAACUAUAAGUUGAUAAGAAAAACUUGAAGAAUAUUGUUUAUAAUUCUUUGACUUAUGAAGAAUGUGAUAGCAAUUGGAAAAAAUUGAUUGAAGAUUUUAAUUUGGAGAAAAAUGAUUGGUUGAGUUCUUUAUAGGAUUGUCGUCAUAAGUGGAUGCCUUUAUAUGUGAAACAUAAAUUUUGGGCAUGGAUGUCGACCAGUCAAAGAAGUGAGAGUAUGAAUACCUUUUUUGAUGAUUUUGUUCAUUCGAAAACAACUUUGAAGCAGUUUGUUGAAUUAGUAUGGCAGCGCUUUAAAAAGUAAGAUUGAAAAGAAAAAUAAUUCUGAUUUUGCGUUAUUCAAUUCAAUCAUUCCGAUCAUUAGUGGUCAUCCAAUUGAAAAGCAGUUUCAAAAUGUCUGCACUAGUAAGAUAUUCAAGUUGUUUCAUGAUGAAAUGAGGUGCUUGAUGUUUUGUAACAAUUCGUUUGUGAAGCAAGAAGGGUCAACUAUCUUAUAUGAAGUGGUGGAAACUCCAUUGGGAAAAGAGGGAGCAACUCCAAAAAAUAUUUCAUUGUUGGUACAAUAUAGUGAGGUAGAAUGUGAGAUGAAGUGUUUAUGUCGUCUCUUUGAGUUUCAAGGAAUUUUGUGUAGACAUUUUAUUUCUAUUCUUGUCAAAAGGAAUGCCACUAGAGUUCUAGAAAAUUAUAUUUUGAAAUGAUGGCGCAAAGACAUUAAACGUGGGUAUCAAGGAAUCACCAAUAUUUAUGAUGAUUUUGGUUAUCAUGAAGAAGAAAGACAAAGAUAUAAUAAUCUUCAACCCUUGUUACAAGAAGUGCAUCAACUCGGGUCAAAAAAAUCAUAAGAGGUUCUUUGUUUUAAUGGGGAUAUUGAAAGAAAUAAAACACAGGCUUAUGGAUAUUAAUAUUAUUGAUUCGUUGGAUGGUGAUCAGGAUAGAAACAAGAUACAUGGGGAAUCAAGAAUUGAGAGCAAGAAGUUUCACACUUCACUGAAAGUAAGAUCUCGUAGGCGUCCACCAACAAAAAGAAAAUAAUCCAAAAUUGAGCAAAUCAUGAAAAAGGCGUCGACAAAGAGUAGAAUAAAGGUUUGGUUGAAUUGAUUAUACUUUGGUUUUAUGUUUUGAAUAUAAUUGAUUUUACUUUUUGUUAUUUGUUAACAUUGAACGUAAGUUCUUUGUCUAUAGGAUGAUAGAAUUGGUACAAAGCAAGAAGAAUUACCAAAUUUAGGUCAUACAAAUAUGAUCACUGACUAGUGUAAUCAAAAUGUUGUAGCUGAAUCAGCUGUAUGUUCAACAAUUUGACAAGGUGCAUGGAGAAACUUGUGACAAUGAUGUGUGUUUGUCAAUGUUGUGUGACAAUGAUAUGGGAUAUUUUUCUCAUUCAAUUCCGUAGUUCUGAAUGUGGUAUAUAGAAUGUAUUCUUAGUUAUGUUUUUCUCAUCCUUACACUUUAAUGUAGUUCUUACCAAUGAGAAAAUUGUUUAUUAUUUGAGUGCACUUUUUGUGCUUUGAUUGA